rnacentral:misc_RNA from 1 species
GUGUAACACAACCACUAAUAAUAAAGGUCUUAAAUGCCUGUCUUUUAAGUAAUUAAGUAUUACAUACAACAGAGUACUAAAAUAAGAAAGUGCGCAGGAGGCACUAAAUAAGUUACCUUAUUUCCCAAAAUCAUCAAGUUCUUCUGUUGUACAUGGAACAUGAGACUCUCCAUGGUGAUUUUCGCCUAUAGUACCCUAGGCCUCAUCGCCAUACUCCUUCCCUUUGGUGUUAGUUGCUAAAUCUUCAGGACCAGGAGGUAAAUCUUCUAUGAAGGAUGAGAAUGACUCUGUUCCAAUAAUUAAAUGAAAAAUGCACUGAUCAUUUCUGGUGGGUCCAACCAUACAAGGGUCUGCAACUUUGCUUUCAAUUGAUUGGAUCUUGGUGCCUGUUUUCAAGGGUCGACAUCUGCUGUGCUUCAUUCUCGUCCUUAAAACACAAAAGGUCUGUUUCAUUCCUUGCGUCAUCAUUAGAAUUUCCAUUAAUGAGCAACUCCAUUUGAUCAUCCUCCCAGUCUUGUUCAUAGUCAGGCAAUUCAGUACAAUUUUGAAAAUUAGUCAGUGAUUUCUCCAUAGUCCUAAAUUUUUCCAUGAUAAUUGGAUGAUAAAAAAUAGAUGAUUAUCCCAUGAUUUAGAUGUUGUGCUAUCCAUCUUCUUCCUUUGUACAACUUCGGAUACACUAGGUUUUAUGUUAUAUGAACAUUUACAAGGUUGGCUCAGAAUUCGUAUUGCAUACUUGCUCAAUACUGGAAGAAGCGGACGAUUAUAAUCCCACCAUUCACAAGGAUGAGAUGAUGUCAUGAUUGCGCGUGAAAUUUCAUUUGUUAAUUCCUUCAAUGAUCGCUUACGAUAAAGCUGCAACUCCUGUAUAAAUUUUGCCUUUUCUUCUCCACUUGCUACCAAGUUCUCCGACACAAAGUUCAUGCCAUUGUACGUAUCAAUGCCCCAACAUUCAGAAUCCUCCAGAAACAUGUAAGUAGGAUUCAGAAAAGCUGCAGCAGCAUGCAUCGGGUGGAUAAUGUUGCCUUGCCUCUCCCCUAAUAACUCCAAUAUCCUUUGAUACUUUGUUGGAUUGCGGUCACGGUACCCCUCAAUUGCUUCUCUUGCCCUUUUCAAUGCUCCAUACAAGUAGCCUGAAUUUGGUCUAUCAUUUUCUACUAAUCGGAGGACUUGAACUAUUGGCUCCAGAACAUCUAGUACAUCAUGUCCUUGAUUCCAAAAGUUUGCACCUUGAAUAAUAUCAGUAACCUUCCGAGCUGUCUCGUUAUUGUUAGAAUCCAGCAUGUACCACUCGUCAGACAUAAUGAGUUGUUGCAAUUCAUUCUUAUUAUCAAAGAUGGACUGAAGCAUUUGAUACUUGGAGGCAAACUUGGACAUACAAGGAUGUUUCAAUUCCUUGCCCUUUGUGUAUUGUUUCAUCAAUGAUAAAACAAUAGCGUUGCUGUACAUAUGUCUGAAGAUCAAUUCUGCAUGAUCAAUUAUCUGUCUUACCCAGGCAAUUUCAUCGAAUAUGACCUUCAAAAAAGAAUGAAUCUCUUGAGCUGCACAUCGAAUUUGGUAAAUUGUUGGGUACCUAGUCUCAAGCAUUUCUCCAACCGAACUAGAAAUUUUACCAUCGUUGGUGAUGAAUUGGACAACAUGAUCAACCCCAAUUUUUUCAAUUAUGGAAGAAACUAUCUCUGUGAAAUCAAAAUCUAUCUCCUCCAACCUUGAAACUUCAUAUGAAGUUUCAAAUAUAA